CGUUCCUUUCUCUAUGAACAUAAGCGAGUUAGCACUAGUUCUUACAGCCUUUGCCUUGAAUCUUUGACUCGUGUUUGCUCUGCAGGUAUUAAAAACAUGAGAGCAUUUAAUACAGGAGAGACUGUAGUUUAUUCAUUUUUUAUUGUUGUAUAAUCAUGAUAGUUUAAAAAAAAAAGCUUAGACGUUGAAAUAGACAAAAAAUCACUUUCAAAUUUUGGAAGUAAAUUUCUAGGGGAUCUCUCUGAGAAUGGAAAACAUAGGAACCGCCCACACUCCCCUCCCUAGCAAAUGGCACUUACUGCUCUAAGCAUGAGGUAAUGAACCUACCAGGUAACUUAGCCAGAAGGAAGGGCCAGGUGCCUAGUUCUGUCCCCUCUCUCCUUCACUCAGUUACUCCCCACUCCUGUCUCUCCCUGUGGAACCAGAACAAAUUAUGCUGCGCUGUUGUCAUAGAUUAUGUCAACAUCAUCAAGUGUCCCAGAAAGAACAUGAGACGAAGUCUGCAAUACCCUAAUUUGGCCCCCUGCUCUGCCAGAAGAAACCAUGUGACCUUGGGGUUGGACCACCACAACCAAGGUUGUUUCCAUGCACCUCCAGGACAUGCACCUCCAGGACUCAGAGAGAGUUUACGGUAAAUGGUGUGGUCCAACUACAUGCUGAAGUUACUGUCCUUUAACAAGGAGAAUAACAUUUAGAAGAAAGAAAGAGAAUGAGAGAGAGAGAGAGGAAGAUGCAAGAAGAAGAAGAAGAAGGAGAAGAAGAAGGAGGAGGAGGGGAAGAAGAAGAAGAAGAAGAAGGAGAAGGAGAAGGAGAAGGAGAAGGAGAAGGAGGAGAAGGAGAAGGAGAAGAAGAAAUCAUGCAAGACAGAAGCCCAGAAGCCGCAGUCUUUCAUAUAACCUAAUCUCAGAAGUGAUAUCCAUUACUUCUGCUGUAUGCUGUUGUUCACAGACCUCCCCUGGUACAGUAUGAGGGGACUACACAUGAAUAUGAACACAUCACUGGGGGGGUCAUCUGGGAGGCUGGCUACCACAAUAGGCAAUCAGACAUUACAAGGCUAAGUCAACUGAGGCUUUGGGAAACAACUGACUUGCUGUAGACCAUAUACAUGAUUUUGUGGCUUUGAAUGUGGCAGUAAAUUUUCCACAUGAGGAUCUCAUGCUCUUCACAAGUUUUCUCCCCCCAUAAUCAUGGUUUCCUACCUUAUGAUAAAAAUUUACAAGUUAAAAAAAUUGUUACUGGAUUCUAUGAAAUAUUUUUCAAUCCACGACUAGCUAGUUUUUUAAGCACAGAAAAUGAGGCCUGCUGCACGUCUACCAUUCCCAUCAUUUGUGCAUUGAACUAGGGCACCACUCAAGUAGAGAAUGUAAUACCUCCCGUAUGAUUUUUGAUCACACUCUCUUCCCUAGUUUCAUCAGCCAAACCAGGAACUGUAAGAAUGGACAGCUGUGACUACAAAGGCCCUUUACACCCUGAGUGCAGAGAUUUGGAAAAGCUGUAUGGGAAAGCAAUGUGAAUGGUGUCUCAGAACUUAAGCAUGGUUAAGGUUUUUAUCUAGAAAGCAGUAAGUGACAAAAUAUGUGGUAAUUACCAGGAGAAUUUUCUACAUUGUUCAGUCACACUAUUGAAAAAAGCGCAUAUAACCAGAAAUUUACAGUAAUCAAAUUGAUGAUCUACUAUUUUCCAUCACAAGACUGUUACGCCCAACACGCGGUGUUAGUCAUCGUACUUUCUGCUAAUUAUUGUUUAUAACUUCGCAGCGUGGCACCCGUGGUCCUCUGGAAUUGGAUUUUUACCUCUCUCAACAGCUUCCAUUCCUCAGUUCCUGUGAUUUGUAUUUGAUGAUUCCUGACAUUGAAAGUAUUUUCCCAUAUCUGUAUUUCUUGCCACCUUUGUGCAGGCAUUCAUUUACCUGAUAAAUGCAAAAGCACAUGACUGUGCCAGGCAUAGGGUUAGAUGACAGGAGAAAAUGUGAAGAAGGCAGGCCACUUCCCUCCUCUUAACCUCUCUGUGGGAGAUAUUCCUGAAUAAAUGAUUAUAGAUAAACUUAUCAAAUUAUAAUUGUAAAAAUGGUAUAAAAAGGGAGAACCAAGUGUUGCAGUACUGCGCAGGAGGGGGUCUAACCUAAUGUGUAUGGUGGGGGAGGGAAGUUGACAAAGUUCUCGCUGAGGGAGUUUUUAAUAGUCGGAGACUUACAUGAGGCUCGACACAGGCAGAUGCUUAGGUAGGUUCAAGACUGUUCUUUAAUAUCCAAUUAAUUUAGUGGGAAUUUCUGAAUUGCCAAGUGCAAAGUUACAGAUGUUAUACUGCUAUCCCCUGAAUGUUAUUGUAAAUGCUUAAGUAUUGGCCAACUGUUUUAUGCAAAAUAGGUGAAAAUAAAGCAUACAUUUAAGCAUAAAGUUAAUGAUAACUUUAUAUAAUUCAUCAUUAUAAUUAAAGUGUUUAUUCAUACAUUUAAUAAACUUCUAUUAAAUAGUG